CAAUAUAAGUGAUGGCGACCGGCGCGCGGGUGAGUAACACGUAUCCAACCUGCCGAUAACUCGGGGAUAGCCUUUCGAAAGAAAGAUUAAUACCCGAUGGUAUAAUAAAACCGCAUGGUUUAAUUAUUAAAGAAUUUCGGUUAUCGAUGGGGAUGCGUUCCAUUAGGCAGUUGGUGAGGUAACGGCUCACCAAACCUUCGAUGGAUAGGGGUUCUGAGAGGAAGGUCCCCCACAUUGGAACUGAGACACGGUCCAA
rnacentral:rRNA from 1 species